AGUCAACACGCACGACCGUCCUAGCUUUCGAUCGGUGCAAGACACUCGUUUCACCGGCAAUUGGAUUGGGUUCCUUCAUUGUUCUGAUCAGUCACCGAUUUGAAUUCGCGCACCGCCACUGCCUAUUCUUGCAAAAUAUUAAGUUGGGUAAGGGCAAGGAUACUCGGGCGACUGACAAGAGGAAUCUGUGACAGUGUCAAAGGAACUAGAAUCGCUUCCGCAUUUGAACCUUUAUGUUUUCUCAUAUUUUGAUUUUAUUGCAUUUAUGAUUUUAUUAUAUAUUUUUUUUAUAAUUUAUUUCAUUUUAAAGGGUACCCGGUCGAACGAUUUAAGAUCUUGAGAUAAUGGCAGAACCGUUUCUUAUAUACUUAAAGCAAUUCAAAAUCAUGUUAUGUUAUUUUAUUUUUACUUUAUUUUCCUCAAUGCGAAUAUUUAUGCAUGAUGCAGUAACGAUCCCCUUUUUAGUAGUCCUAAGAGGUGGGGUUGUUACAAUUAUAUUGAUUAUUGAUGUUGUGAAUCAGUUUGACGCCCAAAAUUUUGCGUUUAGGUUUUGGGUCAUUCACGUGCUCAUUUUGAAGUGUUGAAAUGGUUUUGGUUCAACCACGCUUUGGAGGUUGGUCCAAGAAUACUUUCAUUCAAGAAGAAGGUUGAAUUGCUAAUAAUUUGGAGCUUAGAUUGAGAGGUAAAAGAAAGGACAGAACAACGAAUGACAAGAGGAAUUUGUAACCAGUCCUCGGGACUUGACAUCGCUUCUACACUUAUUUUCUUAAAUUUACAUGUUUUGGUUUAGGGGUCAAACAUUUAUUUUUCUUUGGUUAUUUAUUUAUUUAUUCGUUUAUUUACUUGUUUAAAAGUUUAUUUCAAUAUUGUGUUAGGUGUACCCCAAACAGUGAACUUAUGUUCUUUGAGAUUUUAUAUUAGAAAUUUAUUUGGAUUUA